CUGCGAAACUGGAAAAAAAAAAGAGAGAAUACAGCAUUUGAAGAUAUUUGUAACUAACUGUGAGAUCCAUGCCUAUUUCUCUUAGUGUCCCCCUUGGAACCUAGCUUCUCUGGGGCCGUGGAGUGCAUUCUGGUUAUCCUUUGCUUUAUGUCUGAUAUCCACUUAUGAGACUCCCAGAGCUCGACCUGAUGCUUGGCUGUGGAUCUCUGUAUCUACUUCCAUCAGAAAGAGCACGGGCCUGCCAUUGCAUGAAUGUGGAGAGUAGAGGCCAACUUGAAGUCAUCUGUAUGAUGAGACCUUGUGAGUCAAAGAGACAAAAUUCUCAUCAUAGUCCUAAGACAAUGGGGAGCCGGGCAUGUCUUCAAAAAGAUGGAAGGAGCUCACAGUGGAAGAGCAAAGAGGGCUAAAACACACCAAGGCCUAAGGAGGCAGCUCAGAUGAAGUUCUGCCCCUUGAACUCACUAUUUCAGCAAUUUCUGACAACCCACGGUGCAGUAUUUUGUUCUGAUAGUCAUCUGUCUUUAAUUUUGCCACUGUCACUGGCUUCUCUGCUCUCCUGCCUGCCCAAGCCCUGAUGUUUGCUGGCUUCCCAAACAUUUGUGACCUCAUCACCAGUGCCUCAUCCUUUAUGUCAACAUGGAAGGAUGGACAUUGCUAGAGGCAUACCUUCUGUGAAUCUACUUG
rnacentral:lncRNA from 1 species